AGCUCCAAUAGCGUAUAUUAAAGUUGUUGCAGUUAAAAAGCUCGUAGUUGGAUUUCUGGGAGGGUGCCAAUGUCCGCCGACGUGCGUGUGCAGCGGCGCCCUUCCAUCCUUCUGUUAACGCCUCUUGGCAUUCAUUUGCUGGUGGCGGGCUCAGAUAUUUUACCUUGAGAAAAUUAGAGUGUUUCAGGCAGGCUAGGCCGGAAUACAUUAGCAUGGAAUAAUGGAAUAGGACUACGGUCUCUUUGUUGGUUUGAGGGACUGCAGUAAUGAUUGAUAGGGACGGUUGGGGGCAUCUGUAUUCUCAAGCGAGAGGUGAAAUUCUUGGACCUUGGGAAGACAAACAGCUGCGAAAGCGUUUGCCUAGGACGUUCUCU
rnacentral:rRNA from 1 species